UAUUGCAAUUCUUUCUACUAUGAUGCUCUAUAUUUCUGUUCUGUUAUUAAUUCUAGCAUAUUUGUUCUGUUUUUAUUUGAUAUCAUGAUGCAUUUCAAGUUGAGGAAGCCAAACGUUUAUAAUAGAGUACUUUGUCUACGUUGCAGAAUUUCUCUAUAGAGAGAUUAAACAGGUUGUUGUUGAAGAGAUAGGCCACGAAAAUGUAGUUCAGAUUGUUACUGAUAAUGGCUCAAAUUACAAGAAAGCUUGUAAAACUCUUGUUGAACAACCAGAAUUCAGUCAUAUUGUUUGGCAGCCAUGUGCAGCCCACACGGUUAAUCUAAUGCUUAAAGACAUAGGUAAGUUUCCUGAGGUUGAUGUGAUAGUCAAAAGUGCCAAGCAAAUCUGUAGGUUUUUUUAUAAUCACAACAACCUACAUGAUAGCAUGAGGAAGAACGUUGGUGGUGAGCUGAUUAAACCGAAUGCCACCCGGUUUGGAACUGUGUUUAUGUUCCUUGAGAGUUAUUUGGAGAAGAAAGAUAAAUUUAGGAAAUGGAUGGUGUCCGACGACUGGAAGAACAGUAUUUGGAAGAAUGAUGCGGACCAUGUGUUUGCUGAAGAUUUGCUAUCCAGUAACAUGUGGUGGACAGCCUUAGAAUGGGUUCUUGAUUUGCUUGAGCCACUCUAUGUAGCCCUCAGAUAUGCUGAUACACAAAAGAAAUGUACUCUAUCUGGUUUCAAGAAGACUAUGAUGACAGCCAUACAAAAGAUGAGUUCUCAUCUUGGUGGUGGGUCACAGAUGUUAGAUAGAGUCAUGAGCAAGGUGUCCCCGAGGAUGGAAGAUAUGCAAAAUGAGACACUAAUGGUUGCAGGUAGAUACUAAGUUAAUGAAACUGAAAUUUUGUUGCUUUUUUUCUUAUGGUUAUUAACUUCUCUUGAUUCUCCUUUUCUUAUACAGCUGCUGUCCUUGAUCCGUUCACACAUUAUCGGGUGAAUUUGAGCAACCUUCCAGAAUAUGCUUCUGCACUAACGGAUGCCAUCGAGAAGAUAGCAGACCCUGAGAGCGCUCUUUUGGCUAUCAAUGAAAUCAGCACUUAUAGGGAAUGUCGUGGGAGGUUUAGGCAUAGUUUGGCACGCUCUUCCGCAGAAAGAAUGGCACCAAGUAAACCACGAUACUUAUCUCCAUUGAUUAGCUCUAUUGCCUCAUGUUGCAACUUCAUUUCAGCAUCUCUAACUUUGUUUUAACCAUGCAGCUGAGUGGUGGUUCCAGUUUGGAGGGGAAGUUCCUAAUUUGCAGAAGUGGGCAUUGAGAAUUGUUUCACAGUGUGUCUCUUCAAGUGGCUGUGAGAGGAAUUGGACUGCUUUUGCCUUGGUCCACACGAAGCAAAGAAAUCGCCUUCUAUACUGCAAGCUUCACAAAAGUGUUUCUGUACGCUACAACCUGAAGGUAUGUUUGCCAUGGUCUAUGCAUAAAGUCUCAACUUAGCUAUGCUACAAGUAUUUACUUUGCUAAAUCUUGGGUUCUGUUUUUAUACAUUGUAGUUACGUGCUGAAGAAGAUGAAGAUAUUGUGAAGCUGAGUUAUAGGGAGAAGGAAAUUGAUCCAUGUGCAGUGAUGAUGGAUACAGUUAUGCAUGACGAAUCAAACCCAAUGAUGGAGUGGCUGAACGAGGAUGAAGAGCAUAUAGUCCUUGAUGGAUCUGAUGCUGCUACUGCUGUGUUGGAGGAAAUACGUCGCCUUAACUCAAGGAGGAAAGCCUCUCAUCUUGGAAGGAAGGAAAUUAGCAGGAAAGGAAAGAGGGUACGUGAAGAUGAGGAGGAUGAGUUCAUUAGCAGUGAGGAUGAUGAUGANNNNNNNNNNCAUUUUGAAAUGCAGGACUUAAGACCAACGACAUACAUCAUGUGUGGAACCAUGGCCCCAAGCACGGAGGAGGAUUUCAUUGUCGGUAUUGCAACAUGAAGAAUUCUGGAGGAGGUGCAACCCGCUUCAAAGAGCAUCUUGGCAAGAUAGUAGGUGAAGUGAAGGAGUGCCCAAAUGUUCCAAGAAAUGUGCAUGAUAUAAUGAGGAAGGCCGUGCUUGAGAUGAGGAAAAAGAAGAGGGAGAAGGAAAGUCGUAAGCUUAGAUUUGAACGUGAGUUGAUGGAUGAGAUGUACCAGAGAAAUGGUGUGAUAAAUAUUGAUGAUGAUAAAGAUGAAGAAAUUCAUAUGGCACUACGGGAGUCACUAAGAGACAGGAAUGUUCUGUUUUUACUUUAUUUUGUCUUAUUCUGGUUUUACUUUAUAUCAUGAUGCAUUUAGAGUUCUUUGUAUUAUGCCUUACUCUUGCUUUACUUGAUAUCAUCAUACAUAUUGAGUUGAACUUUUUUUACUUAUGUUUUACAGGAAUGUAUCUCGUGCAGUUGAGAGGAGGCGUGGUAGUGGCAGUGGUGUUCGCGUUUCCCUUGGGAAACAGAGUAUCACAACCUACUUUGACAAGCAAUUGUCGAGCAACAAAGUAUCAAUGCAACCCAAGAUCAGCACUGCUAUGGAUAGCAGCUCAAGGGAUGCUGUUGGCCAAGCUUGGGCGAAGUUUUUUCAUGCAAAUGACAUUGCUGGUCGAAAAGCUGACUGUCCAUAUUUUCAGGCUGCCAUGAAGAUCACUCAAAAUCUUGGUGCUGCUCCUAUUCCAACUGGAAAAGAGAUUGAUGGGAAGUAUUUAGACAAAAAUUAUGAAGAGUCUCGAGAGUGGCUGAAGCUAUUCAAGCAAGAUUGGAAGAACUAUGGUGUAACUGUUAUGUGUGACUCCUGGACUGGGCCUACUGGCAUGAGUCUUAUCAAUUUCAUGGUCUAUUGCAAUACACGGAUGUUCUUCCAUAAAUCCAUUGAUGCUUCUGGCCAGUCUCAAAAUUCAGGUUAGAUUUUUUGAGAAAGGGUUAUUUCUAGUUAAUUAUGACUAUUGCAAUUCUUUCUACUAUGAUGCUCUAUAUUUCUGUUCUGUUAUUAAUUCUAGCAUAUUUGUUCUGUUUUUAUUUGAUAUCAUGAUGCAUUUCAAGUUGAGGAAGCCAAACGUUUAUAAUAGAGUACUUUGUCUACGUUGCAGAAUUUCUCUAUAGAGAGAUUAAACAGGUUGUUGUUGAAGAGAUAGGCCACGAAAAUGUAGUUCAGAUUGUUACUGAUAAUGGCUCAAAUUACAAGAAAGCUUGUAAAACUCUUGUUGAACAACCAGAAUUCAGUCAUAUUGUUUGGCAGCCAUGUGCAGCCCACACGGUUAAUCUAAUGCUUAAAGACAUAGGUAAGUUUCCUGAGGUUGAUGUGAUAGUCAAAAGUGCCAAGCAAAUCUGUAGGUUUUUUUAUAAUCACAACAACCUACAUGAUAGCAUGAGGAAGAACGUUGGUGGUGAGCUGAUUAAACCGAAUGCCACCCGGUUUGGAACUGUGUUUAUGUUCCUUGAGAGUUAUUUGGAGAAGAAAGAUAAAUUUAGGAAAUNN
rnacentral:lncRNA from 1 species